GCCCUUGAUGCAAUGGUAGUGUGACUGCCUGCGACGCAGAAGGUUUCGGGUUCUAUUCCCGGUGGGGCA